rnacentral:rRNA from 1 species
CCUACGGGUGGCAGCAGUGGGGAAUAUUGGGCAAUGGGCGCAAGCCUGACCCAGCAACGCCGCGUGAAGGAAGAAGGCUUUCGGGUUGUAAACUUCUUUUCUCAGGGACGAAGCAAGUGACGGUACCUGAGGAAUAAGCCACCGCUAACUACGUGCCAGCAGCCGCGGUAAUACGUAGGUGGCAAGCGUUAUCCGGAUUUACUGGGUGGAAAGGGCGUGUAGGCGGGGCCGCAAGUCAGAUGUGAAAACCACGGGCUCAACCUGUGGCCUGCCUUUGAAACUGUGUUUCUUGAGUACUGGAGAGGCAAACGGAAUUCCUAGUGAAGCGGUGAAAUGCGUAGAUAUUAGGAAGAACACCAGUGGCGAAGGCGGUCUGCUGGACAGCAACUGACGCUGAGGCGCGAAAGCGUGGGGAGCAAACAGGACUAGAUACCCUGGUAGUC